GCACUCUUCCUGCCUUACCAGGCUCAACAGGCGAUGCAUCUGACAGCGAUGUUGGAGUUGUCAUCAAAGGACUACAGUGAAAGCCUUUAAAUGAGGCAUACAAGGAUUGGGAAUCCCAGUGUCUCAGUGGAUCUGCUCCAUUUUGUGUGUGGCUGCAGUAAAUGAUGAUGUGAGGAAAGUCUCAGGAAUCUUUGUGAAAUUUAAGAGAGAGUUUGCACAUGAAGAGAUACCAGAGAAGAGAUACUCAGUGACAUGAAGUUGGCUGCCUGGGAGACCAGGGCUGGUGACCAGCAGAAGUGAUUAAAUGAGGUCUGAUUAGUAGCUUAAGAGAUAUGGCAAGCACAGAUGCCUCCAGGAUAUUUGUCUUCCUGAAGUUUUGCCAUGACACCUGUUACCUGAAUGUUUGAGUGCAUCAUGUUUCUCAUCCAUGACAGUAGCUUCUAAUCUGCUAAGAAGGAGUAAGCAGUCUCAGUUUUCAAGGUGAUACAAAUAUUUCAGUUGGUUCCGUUUCUGGAAAAGGUGUACCUUGGUCAUACUCCUAGGCUUUAAGUUUGCAAGUCUUCUUUCUUGCAAGAAGUUCCAAGCAGUUAACCCAAAGUGACUUCCUCUGGCAGCAGAAAUAAUUUUUCAUUCACAUUCAUUCCAAGUUGCCAGAAACACAGUUUCUAUCAGUUACUUUCCUUCCAAUGUUUCCAUUUGAAUGGAUAAUUAAUGAAAUAGCAUUUGCCUCAUGAUGUCUUUGAACAGCAGCAGCAAACUGUAUCAAAUAAACCUAGAGAGCAACCCUUCUUCACAUCUAUACUGGAAAGCACCUGACAGAGAGCCAACAAUAUGACAGGAGAAAGAGAGGCCUGGUGUCAGUAGAAACUGGUUUAGUUGGUAGAGCAGAAGAGAAGAACCACAACAUCAUGACAGUAUAAAAUACAUCUCCUACCCCUGGUUGCUGGUACUGCCAUGAAAUGUACUUAGAGAAAGGACAUGCUUCAAUGAUGUUGUAAUUCAAGACAAUAUGGGGUGGAUUUCAGAGGCAUAAAGUAAUACAAUAUAAAAUUGUGAGAAUUCUGGUUUGGAGAGCACAUUAUGGGUUCAGAGAAUGAAAUGGCACUUUAGAAGGAAAGUAAACCAACAUAAAAAUAAUAUCAAUAAAAAAUAGGAAGAGUGAGUAAACACCUGCUUCACCUCUGCAAGAAAAAAGACUUCCUACUUCUGGCAGGUGUUCCAAUUAUUUUCAAACCACUUAUGAGAGGAAUGAAACGUCUCUUCUAUGAGCAAAGGCUGGGAGAGCUGAAGUUGUUCAGCUUGGAGAAGAGAAGGCUCCAAGGAAACCUUUUUGUGAUCUUUCAGUACUUUGAGGGGAUUUACAAAAAGAUGGGGACAGACCUUUUAGUUAUGCCUGUAGCAAUAGGACAAGGGAUAUUUGUUUUAAACUGAAAGAUGGUAGGUUCAGGUUAGAUAAGAGGAAGAAAUUUUUUACCAUGAGGGUGGUGAAACACAGAAACAGGUUGUCAAGAGAGGUUGUAGAUGCCUCAUCUUUGUAAACAACCCCUUUGGACUUUUUUUUUUUUUUUUAACAGGAGUAAUUUGAAUUUCAUUUUAUAGCAAAAUCCACCAAACAGUUGUACUAGUACAACACACACAGCAACAUCAACAACAGUGGUUGAGAAAAGACAUUAUGGUUGCCCAGAGAGGUGGUAGAUGACCUAUCCCUGGAAACAUUCCAGGUCAGGCUAGAUGGGACUCUGAGCAACCUGAUCUUUUUGAAGAUGUCCCUGCUUAUUGGGGACAUCUUCAAAAUAUGGACUAGGUGACCUUUAAAGGUCACUUCCAACCCAAACUAUUCUGCUUCUAUGAAGGUCAGUUCAAAUCAGUAGGAGAUGUGACAAGAAGUUGUUUAUUUAUCUCAAUAUAUGUGUUGUGCUGUGAAUAUUUUACUCAAGGAGCAUUUGAGUAUAUUUUUUUUAAGGGUGAUAUCUAGUAGGUACAGCUAGAAAAAAGCUCUUUGGAAAAAACCAAGAACCAUAUGUACAUUGCAGACUGGGAGAGGGAGACAGAGAGAGAGGGAGAAGAAAUGUAAACUUCCAUUCCAAAACCUUCCACCCUGUCAAAUUGGAUUAGCCUAAUGUGUAUCUCACACCCUGACACCUUUGCUGAGUGAUGCCCAAUCAACCCAACCAACUCCUUCCAGCAAUUAAUUGAUUCUAAAUUUUCUGCCCAUGAAGCCAGUAACCUACCUGGUAUGUAAAGAGCAGAAAUCUAAAAACUAAAAAUUACAAUUCUACUAAAUGCCAAGGUAAUUCAGAGAACAUGAUGCCAAGGUCCUAUCAGCCCUAGCUGGAAAAUUAUCAUGGAGCUAAGGUAGCACACUGGGUCAGUCCUGGAUGCAUGGAAAGUUACAGGUGUAGGCUUCCAGGGAACAAUGGAGCUGAACUGAAUGCUGCUUAAGGUGAGCUGACCCCUUCAUAGUUGCCCUGCAACUUAUAGAGGUCUUCAGAAUAAGAAUUUUUCAGCUUUAUAUGGUUGAUGUCACCUCAACAUCUUUAGGCCUCUAUCACUGGGAUGUGACUUACGGCUUAAGAGAAAUUUCCAGCUGUGUAUAUAUUUUCCAUUAAUCUCUGGAUUUUUUAAUCCCUGAAUUUCCUUAAAGACUUAACAGGAGAGAAUACAGUAAACCACUGGCACUCUUCCCUCUUGUAAAGAAAAGGCAUGGAGAUCACCUGAGAUUUUUGUCUUGUGUUCUGUGGAAGCUAAAGAGAAUUCAAGUGAAGACUUCCUAAAGAUGAGUCUGUGAAUCACCCCUGCCUGGAAGCCAUACCCCUAGCUUGUAAAUGCAAAGUGCUAGAGAAUAUACAUGGAAUAUCUCAUAUCUUUAAGUUUGGUUUCAAGAGAAAACACUCAUCAUCUCCUAUUCCAAACCAGUUCUGGAAUAUAUCCUUAAAAUUCCAAACACUAAGAAGAAACAAAAAAAUGUGACUUCUAUCAGCAGCUGCCUCUUGUUUCACCUCAAAGUAACAAGCAAUUCAGAGGGUGAAGAAAAGGCCAACAUUUAUUUUUCUCAACACAGAAGUCCCAUUUCUAACAGCAGAAAAGAAAAAGGUGAACAAGAUAACUAACACAAAUAUUAGUUGAUUCAACAAUAAAUGGAGCUUGCAAUCAGUGACAUGCGUACUUCCCUUGGCCGUUUCAGAAGAGGUGUAACGCAGAAGAAAGUGUCAGAGAGACUGGAAUGCUGAUGGCUCAGACAAUCAACAUGCAAGCUGAUAAUGUGCAAAGUAACUGCCCAGUAACUGCUGAGGACGUGAAAACCUCAGGCUGCAAGCUGGGUGUGCAACAAGGCAGCUGCAAUGUCUUAGAAGGAUCCAGACAAGACUGGAAGGAACUCAACAAAACUGGGACUCUCACCACUGAGAAGACCAGAAGAAGAGGACCAACAGGACAUUGCUGGAAUUCACAUAGUGAUGAUACUUUUCCUACUUAAGCCAUCUCUCUGGCACUUUCUCUCCCUCCUCCUCUCUCUUUUUCCUGUUUCUUUCUGUCUCCCUCUACCUGACAUUUACUGCUAAAUAAAAAUCCGUACUAUUGACUUUGGCAUAUGGUCUCGUUUGCACCUUAAUUUAGGCAGAGGCAUCUUUCUAAUAAUUUUAAGGACCUGAUCAUAACAGUGAGAAGGAAGCCUGGGCUGGUGGUGCACUCUGCCUGAGAAGAGUAACAAAUAUACCUGGUUCUCAGUUCUACCCUUUAUGACUGCCAAAGGGCAAUCCAGCCCAA